ACAUCAUUGGCCCAUUAAUCUGAGCUGAGUAUUGUGGCGUGAGAUAAAUUUUAUCGCCUGUGUUUCAUAACAAGGACAAUGCCAGGUGUGUGAGACAAUAUUAAACGCAGACGGUUGUUUUGAUGACGUCAUGUGCUCGUCGAAAUGUUAUGAGGCCUUCGCUCGUCUUUUCGAUCAGUUACCAGAUACUAUCAAGUCCAGUGUCUCGAUACAUCGAUACAUAACAUAAACACAGCGCAUCUAGGUUCUACGUCAGAGCGCUGGCUUCUGCAAUGACGUGAGGGUUGGACAGAAAGGCUGUCUCAAGAACAUCCACUCAGCAUGUUGUUUCUAAACCAACCGUCCAUCUCUCUGCUUCACAACCUAUUUUGAUGCCCAGUGACCUGAGAAAGAAACUCAUACAGAUUUAGAAGAACAUGUGCAGGGCUGGAUUAUGGAUAGAGCCAGUAGGCCCAACGCCUCGGGACCUCGGAUUGCCAGGGGCCUCCAAAGCCUCAGGCUGCGCACCCCUAGACUGCCAAAAAAAAAGAAACUCAUGCAGGACUGGAAAAACUAGAGGGCGUAGUUCCAGGGCUUCCUGUGCCACCUGGGCAUCUUAAAGUCUGCCAGUCUGUCGGUACAGGAGACCCAGCUGGACCGAGGGCUGUGAUGGUGUGUUGGUGGAAUCAGUAAUGAAGAUUUAGUGCCAAGAACAUUAGCCGUCUUGAGCCUCAAACCCACCCAAGAGCCCCCAGGGUGCUCAACCUUGAGCUUGUUGCCCUCUAUGUGUUCGUGUCUCCAAUUGUUCACGGCGAGAUGUAUUUGUGCUCAUGUGGAGACUUGUUUUGAUAUA